UUUGACGUCAUUCGCAUUGUCAGAUUUUUGGAAUUCGUUUUGGUUCAACAUUCUGCUAUUUCAUAAUUCUUUCAUUCUCAUGUCAUUCAUCUUCCAUUUCUUUCAUUCCAAUCCCGUUCGCAUCGUCCAACGUGCCUGUCAAAUACGGCCGCCAUAAUGCUUUUCAGUUUGGCAGGCACGUUCGCUGUUUGGUAGGCACAUCCGUUGUUAGAAAGAUAAUAGACAAAAAGGGGCAUAGGAUUCCAUACUUAGGCAACGUCGCGGUGGUCU